GAUCCUGGCUCAGGACGAACGCUGGCGGCGCGCCUAACACAUGCAAGUCGAACGGAGAGUUACAGGCGGAAGUUUUCGGAUGGAAGCUUGUAAACUUAGUGGCGGACGGGUGAGUAACACGUGAGCAACCUGCCUAUCAGAGGGGGAUAACGAUUGGAAACGAUCGCUAAUACCGCAUGACAUAGCGGAACCGCAUGGUUUUGUUAUCAAAGAUUUUAUCGCUGAUAGAUGGGCCCGCGUCCGA
rnacentral:rRNA from 1 species